rnacentral:rRNA from 1 species
AGUGAACGCUGGCGGUGGGCCUAACACAUGCAAGUCGAACGGCAGCACAGUAAGAGCUUGCUCUUACGGGUGGCGAGUGGCGGACGGGUGAGGAAUACAUCGGAAUCUACUUUUUCGGGGGGGAUAACGUAGGGAAACUUACGCUAAUACCGCAUACGACCUACGGGUGAAAGCAGGGGAUCUUCGCACCUUGCGCGAUUGAAUGAGCCGAUGUCGGAUUAGCUAGUUGGCGGGGUAAAGGCCCACCAAGGCGACGAUCCGUAGCUGGUCUGAGAGGAUGAUCAGCCACACUGGAACUGAGACACGGUCCAGACUCCUACGGGAGGCAGCAGUGGGGAAUAUUGGACAAUGGGCGCAAGCCUGAUCCAGCCAUACCGCGUGGGUGAAGAAGGCCUUCGGGUUGUAAAGCCCUUUUGUUGGGAAAGAAAAGCAGCAGGUUAAUACCCCGCUGUUCUGACGGUACCCAAAGAAUAAGCACCGGCUAACUUCGUG